UACGGGGGGAGCAAGCGUUGUUCGGAUUUACUGGGCGUAAAGGGCGCGUAGGCGGCCAGCACAAGUCAGUUGUGAAAUCUCCGAGCUUAACUCGGAACGGUCAACUGAUACUGUGCGGCUAGAGUGCGGAAGGGGCAACUGGAAUUCUUGGUGUAGCGGUGAAAUGCGUAGAUAUCAAGAGGAACACCUGCGGCGAAGGCGGGUCUCUGGGCCGAUACUGACGCUGAGGAGCGAAAGCGUGGGGAGCGAACAGG
rnacentral:rRNA from 1 species